CAGCCGCCGCGGUAAUACGAAGGGUGCAAGCGUUACUCGGAAUUACUGGGCGUAAAGCGUGCGUAGGUGGUGGUUUAAGUCCGUUGUGAAAGCCCUGGGCUCAACCUGGGAAUUGCAGUGGAUACUGGGUCACUAGAGUGUGGUAGAGGAUAGUGGAAUUUCCGGUGUAGCAGUGAAAUACGUAGAGAUCGGAAGGAACAUCUGUGGCGAAGGCGACUAUCUGGGCCAACACUGACACUGAGGCACGAAAGCGUGGGGAGCAAACAGGAUUAGAUACCCGCGUAGUCCCUGUCUCUUAUAC
rnacentral:rRNA from 1 species